UACGAAGGGGGCUAGCGUUGUUCGGAAUUACUGGGCGUAAAGCGCACGUAGGCGGACUGUCAAGUCAGGGGUGAAAUCCCGGGGCUCAACCUAUGAACUGCCUCUGAUACUGUCAGUCUAGAGUCCGGAAGAGGUGGGUGGAAUUCCUAGUGUAGAGGUGAAAUUCGCAGAUAUUAGGAAGAACACCGGUGACGAAGGCGGCCCAAUGGUCCGGAACUGACGCUGAGGUGCGAAAGCGUGGGGAGCAAAUAGG
rnacentral:rRNA from 1 species